GUAACUCUGGAGAAGCUCAGCAAUGAGUGCCGAAGGUGCAACGUGGGGACCGCUGGUUCCCGCCAAUCUCUCAGGCAAAAGGACAGAGGAA
rnacentral:ncRNA from 2 species